GAUGAACGCUGGCGGCGUGCCUAACACAUGCAAGUCGAACGAAGCUUGAGGAAUGAUUUCUUCGGAAUGAAUUCUGAUAUGACUUAGUGGCGGACGGGUGAGUAACACGUGAGCAACCUGCCUUUCAGAGGGGGAUAACGGCUGGAAACGGUCGCUAAUACCGCAUGAUAUGUUUGGAUGGCAUCGUCUAAACAUCAAAGAUUUAUCGCUGAAAGAUGGGCUCGCGUCUGAUUAGAUAGUUGGUGAGGUAACGGCUCACCAAGUCGACGAUCAGUAGCCGGACUGAGAGGUUGAACGGCCACAUUGGGACUGAGAUACGGGCCCAGACUCCUACGGGAGGCAGCAGUGGGGAAUAUUGCACAAGUGGGGAAACCCU
rnacentral:rRNA from 1 species